rnacentral:rRNA from 1 species
UACGUAGGGAGCAAGCGUUGUCCGGAAUCAUUGGGCGUAAAGAGCGCGUAGGCGGUCCGGUAAGUCGGUUGUGAAAACUGGGGGCUCAACCCUCAGAGGCCGACCGAUACUGCCGGGCUAGAGUCCGGAAGAGGCGAGUGGAAUUCCUGGUGUAGCGGUGAAAUGCGCAGAUAUCAGGAAGAACACCCGUGGCUAAGGCGGCUCUCUAGUACGGUACUGACGCUGAGACGCGAAAGCGUGGGGAGCGAACAGG